rnacentral:rRNA from 1 species
AACGAACGCUGGCGGCAUGCCUAACACAUGCCAGUCGAACGAGACCUUCGGGUCUAGUGGCGCACGGGUGCGUAACGCGUGGGAACCUGCCCUUAGGUUCGGAAUAACUCCCCGAAAGGGGUGCUAAUACCGGAUAAUGUCUUCGGACCAAAGAUUUAUCGCCUUUGGAUGGGCCCGCGUUGGAUUAGCUAGUUGGUAGGGUAAAAGCCUACCAAGGCGACGAUCCAUAGCUGGUCUGAGAGGAUGAUCAGCCACACUGGGACUGAGACACGGCCCAGACUCCUACGGGAGGCAGCAGUGGGGAAUAUUGGACAAUGGGCGAAAGCCUGAUCCAGCAAUGCCGCGUGAGUGAUGAAGGCCUUAGGGUUGUAAAGCUCUUUUACCCGGGAUAAUAAUGACAGUACCGGGAGAAUAAGCUCCGGCUAACUCCGUG